ensembl:misc_RNA Metazoa_SRP Metazoan signal recognition particle RNA
GCCGGGCAUGGUGGCGCAUGCCUGUAAUCCCAGCUACUCGGGAGGCUGAUGCAGGAGAAUUGCUUGAGCCCAGGAGGCGAAGGUUGCAGUGAGCUGAGAUCGUGCCACUGCACUCCAGCCUGGCCUAUAGAGCGAGACACUGUCUCAA